rnacentral:rRNA from 1 species
GACAGAGGGUGCAAACGUUGUUCGGAUUUACUGGGCGUAAAGCGUGUGUAGGCGGCUUUGCAAGUCGGAUGUGAAAUCCCUCGGCUUAACCAAGGAAGUGCAUCCGAAACUGCAGUGCUUGAGUACUUAAGAGGAUCGCGGAAUUCCCGGUGUAGAGGUGAAAUUCGUAGAUAUCGGGAGGAACACCAGUGGCGAAGGCGGCGAUCUGGGAAGAUACUGACGCUGAGGUGCGAAAGCGUGGGGAGCAAACAGG